rnacentral:siRNA from 1 species
UGGGAAGGUCCCUACAUUGUUACC